rnacentral:rRNA from 1 species
CACCACUAAGCCAGUGGUGAACUCCACAUACGCAUCCUUUGCUGAGGAUACGGUUAACGGAGCGAAAGCGACGUUCAACCUCAAAAGAAGCAGAGGGGGCUUAGUGGUGGGGUGACUGCGUACCUUUUGUAUAAUGGGUCAGCGACUUAUAUUCUGUAGCAAGGUUAACCGAAUAGGGGAGCCGGAGGGAAACCGAGUCUUAACCGGGCGUUAAGUUGCAGGGUAUAGACCCGAAACCCGGUGAUCUAGCCAUGGGCAGGUUGAAGGUUGGGUAACACUAACUGGAGGACCGAACCGACUAAUGUUGAAAAAUUAGCGGAUGACCUGUGGCUGGGGGUGAAAGGCCAAUCAAACCGGGAGAUAGCUGGUUCUCCCCGAAAGCUAUUUAGGUAGCGCCUCGUGAAUUCAUCUCCGGGGGUAGAGCACUGUUUCGGCUAGGGGGCCAUCCCGGCUUACCAACCCGAUGCAAACUGCGAAUACCGGAGAAUGUUAUCACGGGAGACACACGGCGGGUGCUAACGUCCGUCGUGAAGAGGGAAACAACCCAGACCGCCAGCUAAGGUCCCAAAGUCAUGGUUAAGUGGGAAACGAUGUGGGAAGGCCCAGACAGCCAGGAUGUUGGCUUAGAAGCAGCCAUCAUUUAAAGAAAGCGUAAUAGCUCACUGGUCGAGUCGGCCUGCGCGGAAGAUGUAACGGGGCUAAACCAUGCACCGAAGCUGCGGCAGCGACGCUUAUGCGUUGUUGGGUAGGGGAGCGUUCUGUAAGCCUGUGAAGGUGGCCUGUGAGGGUUGCUGGAGGUAUCAGAAGUGCGAAUGCUGACAUAAGUAACGAUAAAGCGGGUGAAAAGCCCGCUCGCCGGAAGACCAAGGGUUCCUGUCCAACGUUAAUCGGGGCAGGGUGAGUCGACCCCUAAGGCGAGGCCGAAAGGCGUAGUCGAUGGGAAACGGGUUAAUAUUCCCGUACUUGGUGUUACUGCGAAGGGGGGACGGAGAAGGCUAUGUUGGCCGGGCGACGGUUGUCCCGGUUUAAGCGUGUAGGUGUGUGUUCCAGGUAAAUCCGGUUCACUUUAACACUGAGGCGUGAUGACGAGGCACUACGGUGCUGAAGCAACAAAUGCCCUGCUUCCAGGAAAAGCCUCUAAGCAUCAGGUAACAUCAAAUCGUACCCCAAACCGACACAGGUGGUCAGGUAGAGAAUACCAAGGCGCUUGAGAGAACUCGGGUGAAGGAACUAGGCAAAAUGGUGCCGUAACUUCGGGAGAAGGCACGCUGACACGUAGGUGAAGUGAUUUACUCAUGGAGCUGAAGUCAGUCGAAGAUACCAGCUGGCUGCAACUGUUUAUUAAAAACACAGCACUGUGCAAACACGAAAGUGGACGUAUACGGUGUGACGCCUGCCCGGUGCCGGAAGGUUAAUUGAUGGGGUCAGCGCAAGCGAAGCUCCUGAUCGAAGCCCCGGUAAACGGCGGCCGUAACUAUAACGGUCCUAAGGUAGCGAAAUUCCUUGUCGGGUAAGUUCCGACCUGCACGAAUGGCGUAAUGAUGGCCAGGCUGUCUCCACCCGAGACUCAGUGAAAUUGAACUCGCUGUGAAGAUGCAGUGUACCCGCGGCAAGACGGAAAGACCCCGUGAACCUUUACUAUAGCUUGACACUGAACAUUGAGCCUUGAUGUGUAGGAUAGGUGGGAGGCUUUGAAGCGUGGACGCCAGUCUGCGUGGAGCCGACCUUGAAAUACCACCCUUUAAUGUUUGAUGUUCUAACGUGGACCCGUGAUCCGGGUUGCGGACAGUGUCUGGUGGGUAGUUUGACUGGGGCGGUCUCCUCCUAAAGAGUAACGGAGGAGCACGAAGGUUGGCUAAUCCUGGUCGGACAUCAGGAGGUUAGUGCAAUGGCAUAAGCCAGCUUGACUGCGAGCGUGACGGCGCGAGCAGGUGCGAAAGCAGGUCAUAGUGAUCCGGUGGUUCUGAAUGGAAGGGCCAUCGCUCAACGGAUAAAAGGUACUCCGGGGAUAACAGGCUGAUACCGCCCAAGAGUUCAUAUCGACGGCGGUGUUUGGCACCUCGAUGUCGGCUCAUCACAUCCUGGGGCUGAAGUAGGUCCCAAGGGUAUGGCUGUUCGCCAUUUAAAGUGGUACGCGAGCUGGGUUUAGAACGUCGUGAGACAGUUCGGUCCCUAUCUGCCGUGGGCGCUGGAGAACUGAGGGGGGCUGCUCCUAGUACGAGAGGACCGGAGUGGACGCAUCACUGGUGUUCGGGUUGUCAUGCCAAUGGCACUGCCCGGUAGCUAAAUGCGGAAGAGAUAAGUGCUGAAAGCAUCUAAGCACGAAACUUGCCCCGAG